rnacentral:rRNA from 1 species
UGCGACCCCAGUCAGCG